rnacentral:lncRNA from 1 species
AUGUUAAAACGAUUUAAAUGUUUUAAUACAAUUGUUUCAGACUCAGACAGUGCCUGCAGGGAUCAAGCAGAGUCUAUCCAAGAAGAGGACAACGGGGAAGAAAAUAUGCAUUCCAUGACUCCGCAGGAAAACAGUUUUAGUCAACAAGCAACAGACACCCAUUUCCCUAAAGUCCGAACAGUGAGAAAAAGAAACACAUGGCAGACCCACUACAACAAGAGGAAGAGGAGGAAGAGGAUAAGUCAGAGGACGAUGAUCAUAUACUGAUUACUGCAUCUGAACAGGUUUAUACAUUCAAUGAUGAUGAUGAUGUCAAUGAUGUUGGUGAUAAAGAUGAUGUGAUGAUCUAUGAUGAGGAUGAUGUGUUGAUGAGGAUGAUAUGUUGAGGUAUAAUGAGGAUGAUGUGUUGAUGAGGAUGAUGUGUUGAUGUAUGAUGAUGAUGAGGAUGAUGUGUUGAUGAGGAUGAUGUGUUGAUGUAUGAUGAGGAUGAUGUGUUGAUGAGGAUGAUGUGUUGAGAUAUGAUGAGGAUGAUGUGUUGGGUAAUGAUGAGGAUGAUGUGUUGAUGAGGAUGAUAUGUUGAGGUAUGAUGAGGAUGAUGUGUUGAUGAAUGAAUUUCCAGUAUGUGUGUGUGUGUGAGUCCAGUGUGUGUGAGUACAGCGUGUGUCCGUGUGAGUCCAGUGUGUGUGUCAGCAUGUGUGUCCAGUGUGUGUGAGGGUCCAGUGUGUGUGUGUGUGUAGUGUGUUUGUGUAGUGUCUGUCCAGUGUGUAUGUGUGUGUGUGUGUGUCUAGUGUGUGACUGAAUGUCCAGUGUGUGUGUCCAGUGUGUGUGUGUGUGUGUGUGUGUGUCCAGUAUGUGUUGUGUAUGUGCGUGUGUGUGUGUCCAGUGUGUGUGUGUGUGUGUGUGUCCAGUGUGUGUGUGUGUUGUCGUGGAGGAUCGUUACAAAAUAUAACACUUACAAGAACUUGUGAGUUCAAUAUAGGCUUUUAAUACAAACAUAUCAGAAGCCUAGAUGGUCCGCGGAACACACACUUUUCCAGAGCUCUGGCUCUG